AAGUAUGAAGCAAUUUAAUGCAAUUAGUUUCGACCUAAUAAUAUAGGUAUUUAAUUACCCUUACUUU
rnacentral:tRNA from 2 species